UGGCUCAGAACGAACGCUGGCGGCAUGCCUAACACAUGCAAGUCGAACGAGGACCUUCGGGUCUAGUGGCGCACGGGUGCGUAACGCGUGGGAAUCUGCCCUUAGGUUCGGAAUAACAGUUAGAAAUGACUGCUAAUACCGGAUAAUGUCUUCGGACCAAAGAUUUAUCGCCCAGGGAUGAGCCCGCGUAGGAUUAGCUAGUUGGUGAGGUAAAGGCUCACCAAGGCGACGAUCCUUAGCUGGUCUGAGAGGAUGAUCAGCCACACUGGGACUGAGACACGGCCCAGACUCCUACGGGAGGCAGCAGUGGGGAAUAUUGGACAAUGGGCGAAAGCCUGAUCCAGCAAUGCCGCGUGAGUGAUGAAGGCCUUAGGGUUGUAAAGCUCUUUUACCCGGGAUGAUAAUGACAGUACCCGCAGAAUAAGCCCCGGCUAACUUCGUG
rnacentral:rRNA from 1 species